rnacentral:lncRNA from 1 species
GUUGUUAUGAAGAGAAUAGAUGUCCAUCGGUGCGUUAAAAAUGAGGGUUUUUUCGUCGUUGGAAAGUUUUGAAUCGUCGAGGAAGACGACGAUUACAGUUAUGUCGUCGUGGAAAUGGCGGCGGCCGCCUUUCUCUAUCUCCAUCAGGUCUGCGUACCUCAUUUCUCUUUUCCUGGCGGCUUCGUUGAUCGCCGCUUUAACCAAUUUCUUGGCGGCUCCCUGCAGGUUAUUGUGGAAUCCCAAUCUCAGUCGCUGGAAAUGAAUGAGCUAGGGAGUUUAGGGGUUUUGUUUUUCAAACAAGCGUACCUUUCGUGAGGUCCUGGAGACAAUACGAACGGCGUCGGCGUCGCUGAGUUGCUCCCAAAGGCCGUCGGAUGCGAAGAUCAAGAAGAGAUCUUGGUGAGUGAGUCUACGGAUAUGCACGCAGGGUUUUGAAGUCAUGACCGGUCGUUUGAUCGGAAUUGGGCAUACGGACAUCCGGAACAUUGGGUCUCUACAUAGCUCUGGUGACUUCAAGUACAUGUCACCGAUGGAUCUUGACACCUGAAUGAUUCCCUUUAUUCUCCAUACUCCUUGAUUGAAGACGACGAUGUGAGAAUCAUCUGGAUGCAUAUCCCUCACUUCCUUUCUCACUUCCUCCACUCCAACAUUAUGGUCCGACGUCAACCGUUCCGCCACCACACGCCCGCCGGAUUUCCUUCCCAACACGGCUCUGGAGUCCCCGGAGUUGGCUACGUAGAGAAACCCAUCAGCGAUCGCUCCGAAGAGACAGCAGGUCCCAACUGACGCCAUCACCGGCUUCGAAACCCAUGUUCUCUUUGCUAGGUUUAUGAAAUCCUCCUCGGUCGCAUCAAAG